UCGGGUGUAGCGUAUGGAACAGCGGCGGUUUCUGAAGAAUGAAAUCAGUGGAAGAUUUCAGCUGCAGCUCGGGGUUCGACUCCCUGCGCCCGAC